GGAGAGGUGUCCGAGUGGUUGAAGGAGCACGCCUGGAAAGCGUGUAUACGGCUAAACCCCGUAUCGAGGGUUCGAAUCCCUCUCUCUCCGCCA
rnacentral:tRNA from 1 species